rnacentral:rRNA from 1 species
AUGGAAGCCGUUGCGGCCUCGGCGAAGCCCACACUCCGCGUGGCCGCUCUCAGCGGCUCCCUCCGCAACAACUCGUGGCAUCACGGCCUCAUCCGCGCCGUGCUGACUGUGCCUUGCAUGUGUGGUGCAGCCGAGGAGCUGUGCGAGGAGUGCAUUCCAGGGCUGCGCAUCGACCACGUCGACAUCUCCGGCCUGCCCAUGGCCAACCCGGACCUCGAGACCGACGGUGGCGACGGUUUCCCGCCGGCCGUGGAGGCGUUCCGCGACAGGGUCAGCGCCGCGGACUGCUUCCUCUUCGCCUCGCCCGAGUACAACUACUCCGUCACCGGCUCGCUCAAGAACGCGCUGGACUGGGCAUCGAGGGGCACACACAAAUGCUGGGCUGACAAGGCAGCGGCGAUCAUCUGCGCGGGGGGCGACUUCGGCGGGGGCAGGGCGUCGCUCCACUUGCGCGAGAUCGGGAUAUACCUGGACCUGCACUUCAUCAACAAGCCGGAGCUCCACAUCAGGGCGUACGAGGACCCGCCCAAGUUCGACGACAAGGGGAACCUCAUCGACGCCCAAGCCAAGGACCGGCUCAGGAAGGUGCUCCUCUCGCUGCAGGCAUUCGCGCUCAGGCUCCAACGCAAAGAGAAUUGA